rnacentral:lncRNA from 1 species
GCAUUGAACGACCCAUAUCAUUUGUGCAACAACCUAGUAGUCAUUACAACGUAUAGCAAACUAAUACGUGUACAACUUAUUGUGCAAAAGAAGAUAAAAAGAGGAAAAAGAUGGGAUGAUUUUGACAAAUAGCCACUUUUAAGGCUGCUAAUGUAGAAUAUAACCCACAUUUGUACACUAACUAAAAAAUAGUCACAAUUAAAAAGUAACAGACACCCGCUUCUUUUUCAUCGUCUCCACUUCUUCUGCGCACUGUUAAAUUUGAUGGCACUUCCUGUGAAGUUUUCCUUUCUUUACCUAGUUCUAAAAGGGGAAAAAAUUAAAGGAGAAGUAGGGGUGGUGGGAAAUGGUGUGGACCGUUUAAGAUUGCAACUCAGUUAAUCACUUUGUAGUUGUUUGGUUUGCAUCAAACUUGCAAACCAUCUUUCCAAUUGUUGAAUAGCUUGGUUAUUUAUGAAAGUACAAGGGGGAGGAGUGGGGGAUGAAUUGUAGCCAAUUAAAAUCUUGGUUGAGUAAGUGUAGGUUUUGUAAAGUGAAAAAUUUCAGUAGGAAUGAAAUAAACAAACGGAAAGGUAAAAAAAGGCACAACAGUUUUGAUACUGGUUCAGUACCAGUGUGGUACCUACGUCCAGUUCCCUUGGGUCACAAGGGUUCUCUUAGAUCUUUGAUAAAGGAUUACAAUAGUGAUGGUUUUAGUACGUUCACCAUCAACGAUAUUCAGCAACAAUGGUUUUUGUAAUUUUGACACAACUCUUAUAGACUCAAGAAUACAGUAUUUGUACUAAGAACUAGAAAGGCUUAGAGAACAGUUUGUGUAGCUGCGUGAAUCUUCUUCUUGAGAUUGCCUGUCUUCUUAUAGGAGAGUUUGAAUAGUCGUUGCAGAUUGAUCUUUGAUUGAGGCACAGAAUCCUCUAAGAGAUUUGACCCAAGGGGUGCCUCUGAAUCCUGCACGUAAGAUGGGCUGCAUUCGUUUACAUCCAUUCCCUUUCAUAUCCAAAUUUCGGGGAGUGAUUUGUGGCUUCGAUUUGGUUGAUCAAUCUUCUGAUUCUAAUUUAGUCCUUGAAGUAUGGCAUGAUAUUCUCUAGCAGCUGCACUUGAUAUGUUUCCUUGUUGAGACAGCCUCGAUAUCCUUUGAUUGAGACUAAAACGUUUGGACUUAUUUUGUUUCCUUUUUUACGGCUUUGACUUCCUUUGAUUUAGCAUUGUUCAUGUUGCCUUUGAUCUCGUUUCCAUUCUGAUAUACUUGUCUUUGAACUUUUCUUGAAGUAGUGCUACUUUAUGAUUUCCUGCAAUCAAAUAGAUACGAUUAGAUUUGCACUAUUGUUGUCAUUGAAACUUAGAUGUAACAAUUUACACAUUAGUCUUCAAAAUAUAUGAGCAUCUAAAACAAAUUUUCUUACAAAGCAUUUAACGAUUGUAAGGAAAUUGCAACAGAAAGCUAAGAAGAAAUAGGAUAGGUAAUCAGAAAGAGAUGAAAACUAGACAGAAUAGGGGAUGAGAUACAUACUUAGAAGAUAGGUGAGAAACAGAGACUUGAGUCGAAGGUGUAACAUAAUUCGCAUCCUUCCUUCUUUUUAACUCUUAGUCCUUUUUAACCACUUGCUAAUUGGGUAUGGAUCCCAAAUAAAACUCUCCAAUAAUUUACUUGACCCAAUAAUCCCAAUUGACCCAAUCUCAUUCAUCUCUUCUAGUCCAUAGGUCCUUACGGAGUCAGCUUGGUUCACACAACAUAUGAGACAAAAAUUACUGUA